AGGGCACCACCAGGAGUGGAGCCUGCGGCUUAAUUUGACUCAACACGGGAAAACUCACCCGGCCCGGACACUGGAAGGAUUGACAGAUUGAGAGCUCUUUCUUGAUUCAGUGGGUGGUGGUGCAUGGCCGUUCUUAGUUGGUGGAGCGAUUUGUCUGGUUAAUUCCGAUAACGAACGAGACUCUAGCCUACUAAAUAGACUGCCGGGUCAUAAGCCCCCGCGAGACUUCUUAGAGGGACAGGCGGCGAUUAAGCCGCACGAAACAGAGCAAUAACAGGUCUGUGAUGCCCUUAGAUGUCCGGGGCCGCACGCGCGCUACACUGAAGUGAUCAGCGUGCUUUUUCACCCUCUUCUGGAGGAGCUGGGAAACCAAGGAACCUUCUUCCUGAUUGGGAAUGGGGGAUGGUAUUAUUGCCCAUGGACGAAGAAAUUCCCAGUAACCGGAGGUAUUAGCUUGGCGUGAAUUCCGUCCUUGCCUUUUGACAAAACGGCCCGUCCCUCCUCCGAAUGGAUUGUAUA
rnacentral:rRNA from 1 species